CCUCCUCCACAGGGUGAUUUGUCCUCGUCCUAGGACCUCAAGCUUGGCCUCCCCUGACCUCUGGGGAAUGGACACCAGGUGACGACAUAUAGUGCCCUCGCUCGGCAGCAGGCACUGGCUCUCAGGGGACUGCGGGGUCACUGCUUAGCUCACACCUGUCCUUUCUCUCCCCUGAGAGAGCUUGUGGCCUUGGGCCACAUCCAUGCUUUCUUUUAAACGGCAUCCGUGAGGCCACCAGGGGGUAGCCUAGGAGGGGCAGUGGAAUUCCUGGACGACUGCUGAAAAGCAAAUCACACACUGGCGAUGGUGCCUACCCUUUUGUUCCAGAAGUAGAAGAAAAUUCAGGUCCGCGAUCCAGACAAUAUUUGUCUUACAAAUAUGCUAAAUAAUGACU
rnacentral:lncRNA from 10 species